CCUACGGGUGGCAGCAGUGGGGGAUAUUGCACAAUGGGGGAAACCCUGAUGCAGCAACGCCGCGUGUGGGAAGAAGGUUCUCGGAUUGUAAACCACUGUUCUUGGUGAAGAUAAUGACGGUAACCAAGGAGAAAGCUCGGGGUAAAUACGUGCCAGCAGCCGCGGUAAUCCGUAGGGAGCAAGCGUUGUCCGGAUUUACUGGGUGUAAAGGGUGCGGAGGCGGGCUUGCAAGUCAGACGGGAAAACCACAGGCUCAACCUGUGGACUGCGUUUGAAACUGUGGGGCUUGAGUGAAGUAGAGGUAGGCGGAAUGCGCGGUGUAGCGGUGAAAUGCGUAGAGAUCGGGAGGAACACCAGUGGCGAAGGCAGCCUACUGGGCUUUAACUGACGCUGAGGCACGAAAGCAUGGGUAGCGAACAGGAUUAGAUACCCGAGUAGUC
rnacentral:rRNA from 1 species